rnacentral:rRNA from 1 species
UACGUAGGGAGCAAGCGUUGUCCGGAAUCAUUGGGCGUAAAGCGCGCGUAGGCGGCCUCAUAAGUCCGUUGUGAAAGUCAAAGGCUCAACCUUUGAAAGCCGAUGGAUACUGUGAGGCUAGAGUCCGGAGGAGGCGAGUGGAAUUCCUGGUGUAGCGGUGGAAUGCGCAGAUAUCAGGAGGAACACCAAUAGCGAAGGCAGCUCGCUGGGACGGUACUGACGCUAAGGCGCGAAAGCGUGGGGAGCGAACAGG